rnacentral:lncRNA from 1 species
AAAGGAAAAGUGUUAUAGAAUACCAAGCCAAACGAGAAAGAAAAAAAAUAAAAGAUCCUACAAGAAAAGAUAACAAACUUGCCAUCAACUGCUUAUGAACCGGCAAUACUUAUGAUGCUUAUUGUCUUAGAGAAAACAUACUCUCUUCAGAUAUAGUUUGAAUAAGUUAUCUUAUGUAAUAAGGAGGCACAUUACACACAAAGAUUAAAUCUUGUGAAACCAACCUCAAGAGCAAUAGACUUGGCUAAAUUCAGAGUUCCGGGGUUGCUGGCAACUUCAUCCAGAUAAGAUACACUUUCAGCUUCACAAAGAUGCAAUAGCUACAGAAAGAGGAUUUUUUGCCAAUUUACAAAAUAAAUUUCAAGAAUUAAUUUAACAAUAUAAGCUGCAAAUAGUCUCCUGGUAUACAAUCACAAAAGAACAUAUCCAUCACUUCGCCUUACAAUAGACAAGACUUUAGACUUCAUUCUUGAAACAGCAGCCACAACUGCAGAGGAUUCUACAAAAAACGGAGAUACAUUUACAUCAAGAACAGUUUGCGCCAGCAAAAGAACGCCACCUUUACCGCAUAACUCCUGACACACGACCAAAAAGGUUUAAACUCAAUAGUAAGAAUAACUGCAAAAGAAAUAACGCAGGCUGAGGUGAAAUGAGAUAGAAAAUACUUGAUCCUCCAAUAAACCAUGUAACUUAUAAAGUAAAACCAAUUAAGGUAGACAAAAAGUAGCGUUGAAUUGACCAUAUGUGGAGAAUUAGCAAAAUUAAUAAUCUCCAAUUUUCAGAUAAGCUGCAAAGUUUUCAAAAAAAAAAAUCUUUCUCAAGUAAAGGAACAAGGUAAAUUUUAUUUCAAUGAAAUAUAGAUCAAUAGCUUUCUCCUACUCAUGCACCACAGCUGUGUGCCCAGAAAUUUUGAACUGCCAUAGUGUUUAGCACAAGAUGCCACCUGUUUCAAUCCUUUGAUGAUACAUUACACAUUAUCUUGACCUCUUAACUAAUGAAUGUGAAGAAAAAAGCAGGGGAGGCGGCCGCCCGGGGGGCCCGGAGUGCAAUUCUGUGCAUCUCAUUGUAGGUGGAUAAGGGAGCAGACGUCUUUACUAAAUACCUUGUUCCUCACAAGGCGCUCCCGAAAUAACUUCUGUUGACAGCAUGACAUAAGAAACUGUAUAGAAGCCUCACACUGCUGGCACAGAUGAUUCAAUGUUUCUUCAGCAUUUGGACUAGUAUGGAAAUUAGCAUUUUCAGCUGACAACCUGGUAUGCAGAAACUGAAUAUCAAGUUGCACAGCAGCAAAAGCUACAUCCAUAAAUAUAUCAACCUGCCAGAACGGGCUUCAUUAUCAGCCAAGUCUCACUGACUACUAAUUGCAUAUAAUGAUCUCUGGUAUAUGAAGAAGUCAAGUUCAUGUGGAUAGCACCUUGUUCUGAAAUUACUUCAAAAGGUUACACAAAAUAUUCUUGUGCCUUAAAGUUAUAAAACCUAUAUUACCUUGGUAUGCUGUAGCAAAAGUUGAGUAAGUUCUUGCCAUUGCGAAGAGACACACGCUGUUAAUAAAUACAGACUGGAGGAAACCAGUGUUGAAUGCAAGUGAACCAGCUGAUCGGAAAUGUUGUGUUCCUAGAAAGACAAUGUAACUUAGUAAAAAUAAAUAUGAAAAAAAAAAGGGUAAGUUACUGAAGGAAAAGAUUGCAAGCAACCUGUCUGCAAGUAGCAAGAAUAGCAAGCACAAAAAAGAUAAGGUCAAGUAUCUGCUCAGAUACUUUUGUAUCAUCCACGAAUAUCUGCAAAAAAAAAAAGGUCAAGCAUCUGCCCGAAUGAAGAAAGAAAUCAACAAAGAGAAAUAACUAUUCACUCCAAAAACUUGUUGACUUGAUGUUACUUUUGAAGAAAAAAGCCUAUGCAAGAGGUGUGAUUGUUCCAAAUAAUUAAAAGGAAAAAAGGAAAGGCAAGGAGUACAAAGAACCAUUCACAAUCAGAAUUUUGCAUUUCUGGAAAGUGUGGUCCAGAAAUAUGAAAGAAAACCAGAACUACCAGCAAAUGACUGUAGGGAAAAAAGUAUUCCAAAUUCCACUAACCAUGACUCGCUUAGGAGAGAGAAAAUGGGCUUCAAAUGACAUUUUGACCCCAGUUAAACAGAGCUAAGACCAACCUUUGGUUUGACUCCUCAAGCCACUCCACCGAACCAAAAGGCGUGAAAAAACAACACUUGAAAAAGGAGGAGCAAAACAAAUUCAGCAAAACGGCGCAAUCAGGAAAAAAUCAUAGACAAAUAAGCUCCCUAACGUAUUAAAAAGGGAGAUCUUCUCUGACUGAUUUGGGUUCUGCCAUAAAUAUAAUGAAUUCUUGAAAAAAAAUAAAAAGUACAAAUCCAAUAUAACCUAGAACGAUGACAAAUCCGAUCUGAAGUAAAGUAUGAGGAAUAAAGCUGUGGAAAGCGGGGGGGGCAGGGACAAUAGAGAAGAGUGGUAAGAGAAGAACUUCCCUCAUUAAAACCAUAAUUUUACAAUAAAUAAAGGAAGAUUGUUCUCUGAACUCAUAAAUUGCAUGCUUUUCCUUCAUCUCUUUCUUUUCUGCCUUAAUGAUUGAGCUUAGAGAUAACCCCAAAAAUGAGGAGAAAAGUCCGGAGAGGCAAUAAUCUGACACUACAAAAAUCUCGUAAUUACUGCUUAAAUGUUCAAUGUUAAAAGAUACAACAGCCACUCAACCUGUUCAAUCUUAGGGGGCCGAGGUGCCAAAUCACACAAUGAGUGCAGCAGUCUAAACCCAGAUAACAAAUAUUCAAAUAGUGCUUCAUCCGGUCUCCAAUUUACAAGUGCUGCAAUAAGGUGUAAAGGAAGAUGCCUUGCAAGCCUAUCUACAUCAAUCUGCAACAAUAGAAUUUUGCCAUUCUAAGGAGACAAAUUGGGGAAAAAAUUAAUACUAUUAAUAGUCAAACAAUGGCAAACAUAUUCAUAAACAGAAAUUUUGAUCCCCUUUAAUUAAAACUCCCAAUAGCCACCUGGACUUGACAUCCAUUUUCAGCUGUGCAAUGAAUAACACUGUUUUCUGCCUCCCUUAUUAGCCUGCCAAGCUCCUGUGAAGUUAGCUUAUGCAACCCUUUAACCGCAGAAAUGAAGUCAAGAACCUGUCAAGCAGAAGGAGAACAUGUAACAAGAAAUCUUUUGGAGAACAAGGUCCGGGAUAAGAGGAAUUAUCUGCAGAAGAAUCAGGACCAAAGGUAAUGAAAUACUACUCUAGGCAAAAACUGCCCGAGUCAUGUUGUGUUUCAUCACAGUUGGAGACAGUAAAGCAGCAAGGAAGUGACACUGCAUAUAAACAUCCAUCAAAAAUAACAAUGUCGCAGGAUGAUAGAGCAAUAUGCUGUCUUAAAAAAACCUAAAAGGUCUAUAAUUUGAGGUCAAUGGAGCCAAGACAAUAGCAAAAUUUACUUUCAAUACCUUUAUAACUAUUUUUGCUGAAUGACAUAAUAGUGAUUAUAACAGUUUUGAGGAAGAAUUCCAGCAAAAGAGCAGUUUCCUGUUUUGACUUUCAAAUUAUUACCCCAUCUUUUCCAAAUAAACUACUUCUCAUUAUCUGUUAAACUUUUACCUCUAGGAGUAAUAAAAAGUAUGCUCCAUAAUGAGAAUAUGACAGAUGAUGCCAAACUCCAUAAAGGGCAUGUUGUGUAGCUGUUUAUUAACAGUAGGUGGUAAGUGGGACUUAAACCUGUUAGAUAUUGUUUUGACCAUUUGGACAAAGGCAAAUAGAAAAGUAUCAAGACCAGUAUUACUUCAACUUUACCUCACUUUCAACCUAAAAUAGGUUCCAAUAAUAAAUAUAUAUUUUGACAGAGCUGCACAAGGUAUUACUAUAUAAAUGGGCUUUCACCACAACCUUGCUGCAUCAGUACUACAAGGUCUAUUACACAUUCAAAAGAAAGCAAGAAUGAAUUUAGGAUCUUACAGCACCUAACUAACAUGGAUAGCAAGCACUUAACACACCAUUUUCAACAACAGAACCCAUGUUUUAAAAAUUAGUGAUGUCAUAAAUGAGGAAAUAAUUCACAAAAAAGAAUUACAUCAAUCAAAUAUUGACAGCAAAACCUAAAAUUAAAGGUCAGAGGAAAACUGAUGCUUAAUGCAAUCUGCAAGCACGCCUACACUGAAAAUAUGAUUCAUAAAGUUCAUACAUCCCUCUCUUUAAGUAUUGCCUAACAGUAUCACAAACAGCACACACUGAAACUGCAGUUUCCCGUUACACUCCUAUCAAAGCAACUUAGAGACACUUAAGUUUUCUAGUUGCACUAGGUUUUCUGGAGAAGCUGGGCCAGCAUAAACAUUAUUAUUUGAAGGAUAUCGCAUAUUAACUGUUGAAAAACAAGUGCACUCUGAUUGACUGACAUGCAAAUACCCAAACUAAAUCCAGACCAAAAAAAAAAAAUGCUCUCCUCGAAUCUCACUUAAGAUGAGAACAGCGUCAAUUGAAAAUACAGUUUUAGGGCAAGCUGAAAGGGUAUUCCAGUUACAAAUGUCCACUUAAUUAGGGAUACCACUCCCAUUGGCUGUUAGUAUUACUAUGCACUCACAUUCAAAACCUAACUUCAUACCCUCUAUAACAUUAGUCACUUCUCAGGUUAGAGAAACUAUACCUCAAACAAUACCAAUAUAUACGACCACACAGCAGCACAAAAUUUGCAUUACUAUUGUACAAUAAUUGUAUGGUCACGUACUGAGUCAUUUCUCCUCAAAGAGCUGCUCAGAGUCAAAGGUUCUGUGCUGCACAAUACUUGCUCCUUUGAAUUUCUCAUUCUCUGAAUCCCGCUAAAAUGCCCAACCAAGAAUAGACAAAGAAUUUAAGGAUCAGAGUAAACUGGAAAACGUAGUAUCUGCGCACACAUGCAUAUGUCUCUAUGCGUUCAUAAAUUUUCAGUUCCAUUCAUUGCAGAUUUAAUUCCAGAGCAAAAGCCUAAAAAAUAAAAAAUAAAAAACCAGCGCAAAAAAUAAACGUGAACUCUAAGCCAAAAUAAUUCAGAAAAGCUCCUUUUGGAAAGGAAUCAAUAAACCAAGGUUUUAUAUUGGCAAACAGAUUGAUGGCAGCCGCGCUUUUAGGGAGAAAAAUUAAGAAACGCAUUAGUUUGGCAAGAAGAAAUAAUCAAUAACCCGGGAAGUGGGAGGGGGACUUUACUUUCGGAAAUUACAACAAAAACCAAGAAGGCAAAAAAAAAGAAAAAAGAAAAACAGAACAAAAAACACAGUAAACCUUAUGCUAGAAGAAAAGACAAUAAGAACAUAGUAAAGUAAAAGCCCAAACUCAUAUGUGUGUGUGAGCGUGUGUAUUCUUAAUUAAGGGAGUUUUCACACCCAAUAAUUGUCCAUGUCUAAUCUUCAAAUGAGAUUUGCCCUUUCUCUGAUUUCUUGUACAACAAAUUUAGAAGGGGAAAGAAAAAAGAAAAGGGAGUAAGAAGCCGCGAGUACCUCAGGACCAAGAUAAACAGCGCUGGAGAAGUGAAAGAGAGAGCGAAGGGGAUGAAAAUUUUAGAGGGAAUGCAGAAAGAGCGAGAGAGGGAGGAAGCAAAGGAGGCAUCCAAGUCCCAACAACUUUUACCCACAGCCACCACUAUUCUAUUCUAUUCUAUUCUAUGCUCCCACUGCUAACUACUGCGUACAAGUACUCUUUAUCCGCUUUAUCGCUUUGUUUAAAAUUAUUAUACGUUCUCUCUUUUUAUUUUGUAAUUUAUCCACAUAUUAUUAUUAUUUAUUUAUUUAUAAGGUGUAACGCACAGUGCUACUGUGCGCCCCAAACAGCUCCCACCAUUCCUCGAGAAGGUCAAGUCGGAGACUUGCAGGCCGUCCAAAGUGCAAAGCUGAAUAUAUAUGCUUUUUUUUUUUUUUUUUACCCUCCCCUCCCCUCCUCAUACCACACCUUUUUCACCCUGACUGUCAAAAUUAGGGAUACGAAUACAAAGUUGUAUACUUGAUUACCUGUAUGAAUAUAUAAGCUACUUACCUGUAUAUAUAUAUAUAUAUGUAUGUAUAUAUAAGGUACAAUCUACAUAUUUCGAUAUGUGAUAGGUUCUAAUAUAUUCCCUCCAUCCCACUUUGAUAGUUCUGUUUCUUUUUUCACACAGUUUAAGAAAAAAUAGUUAAUUUUGUUGAAAAAGUAAAUUUAGAUUGCUAUUUUCCUAAAAUACCCUCACAUUAAAUAUGGUACAACUUUAUGGGAACUUGAAUUGAUGGUAAAAAAAGAAUCAACUCUCAUUAAAUGGAGUAGGUUUAUAGUAACAACUACUUACAUUAAAUAAGGGUAAUUUAGAAAAAUUAAAAUACAACUACAUUCUUCAAUUGGAAAGUGGACUACAAUUUGGGACAGAUGAAAAAGAAAUACAGGACUAUCAAAGUGGGACGGAGGGAGUAUGUAUUUCUAUAUUCAAAAUACAAUAAAAAAAUGUACUUACAUAAAUCAAACUAAAACUGACAACGAUGACACUUACAUAAAUCAAAAUUUUAAGGGUAAAAUACACUAAAUUCCCUUGUGAUUUGGGUUAUUAUCAUAAAACCUCCUCGUUGUUUAAAAACCCCCAAAGUACCCCCUCAUAGUUUGGACUAAUUUGGACAAUGAACGGAAAUCGUCUAAUUUGACGGAAAAUAUGAAAUUCCUAUAUUAACCUUGUUUCAAAACUUAUCAUCUUCUCCAAAUCUCCAUUUUUUCCUUCGACAACAAUAGAAUAGCUACCAAUUACCACAGCCACCAUUCAACUGAAAACCCAUUCUCCUUCAACUCAGUCUCCGUCACCGCAUCCACCUCAAUCGAGCCCAUGUCCGCUGGCAUCACAGCUGAUAACAGCCCUCCCAAACCAUUAUUCGAACCUAGAGUCGCAGCUGCAGCAGAAGCUGAAGUUGCCUCCAUUGAGUCCAUUUCCAAGUUCCGAAUUGCACUAGUCCAACCCCCGGAAAUUAGCCCGACCCGAUCCAAUUGCUAACAGAAACCUUAAUUGUUCCGCAAAAGAGUUCAAAAAAAGAAGGAAACGGUUUUGCAAGAAAUACUUUAAAAAAAAGAGGACUUUUUUUUCCAGUGCUAUGUAGAAAGAAAGUACAAAUUUAGAAACAGAAAAAGUACUCAAAAAGCUUUCCAAUGGCAGAGAGAAUUUUGGAAGAAAAAACAGAGAAACUUUCCUGGCUUCUUUUUCUCCCUCUACCCUCUGUACGUUUUUUUUUUUUUUUGUUUGCUGGGUUUGUGGAAAAUGGGUUCUCGUUUCUUGUUCUCUCACCCAGAAAGUUGCAAAAUGCCAACAGUGCAAAAGAGUCUUUUGAUGCUUUUGCCAGAUCCUUUAAACUAUCCAUUGAAACUUUGAGGCGGUCGCAAUUAGUGGAUCUCUAUGGCUGAAAUCACUUUCCAUUCUUUUCAUUCCAUUCCGUUGAGCUCCCUUGAAUCACAAUCCAUCUGUAUUUGUUCCAAGCCCGCCACCACCUUCAAUGCCAUAUUACUUUCUGCUUAGCCCACCAAUUGAUUACAUCCCAAAACCACCUGGUAGAGCCGAAGGAGGAGGAUUUGUCCUGCACAGCAGCCCCUGAGUUUACAACUAAAUUCAUCUGCUACAGUGAUUGAAGUGUACAAAUCAAUCUAUCAAUGGUAAUUUUUGCUGCUUCAAUUGCCAUGGUCACCACCAUCAUCGUCAUCUUCAACAUCAUUGGGUCUUAGAUUUCAUCUAGAUUCAUGUAAUUUCUACUCCAAAUCGUUCAGGAGUAAGAAGAAAAAGGAAGAACAAGGAAAAAAAAGAAAAGAAAAGAAAAGAAAACGUAAAAUUAUCACAUUACCCUUGAUGUAUUGUUAUCACACUCGCUUGUCAAGCGUUUGUAAUUUACUUUCCGUCAAAUUAGACGAUUUCCGUUCAUUGCCCAAAUUAGUCCAAACUAUGAGGGGGUACUUUGGGAGUUUUUAAACAAUGAGGAGGCUUUAUGAUAAUAACCCAAACCACAAGGGGGUUUAGUGUAUUUUACCCAAACUAAAACUAAAAAAAGGGGUAGCAACGACGCCGGUUUUAACUCCUGGAAGGGUCAAGUAGAAUAAUCUUAAUUACUCCAAAAAAAAUUUUAAAAAAAAUAAAGUACUCACUCGGUAGGCUCUUAAACUAUUUUUUAUUGUAAUGUUUGACCCUUCAUUUUUCAUAACAAAUAAGCCCUUGGACUCCAAAAAUGAAUUGAAAAAAAAAAAGGUCUAAAUUUUAGGUACUCCCAUCCAUUGUAGCUGUUAAGGUGGAUGGGAUGAGUUUUAAAUUUAUCAUAUUUUUAAUAAUAAGGAUUUCGAAAAGGGUCAAUUUUGCAACUUCAAAUUAGAUGCUAAAUACCCCAAAAAAAAAAUUGAUAACAACAUGGGGGUUUGAAGUGCAAUCUUUCAAACCUAUUUGUUCUUCUUCAAGUUUUAGUCGCCUUCCUCCAUCGCCUACCUGCCAAGUUCAACCAAGCUGCUUUAUUACACUCAUGUCUAGUGCUAUCAAUGUUUUUAAAACCGGACCGUUAAUUGAAUCGGUGAAGUGAAAGGGUCGAAAUUCAAUCGGUCGGACCGGUUCAACCCCGAUUCAAUAAAUUUUUUUAAAAAUAAUUUAUAUAAAUAUAUAUAUGCACAAAAUAAGACAUGUAAUGGAUUGAUUUAAUACUUUAUAUGAUGAAAAGUUUACUAUUUUUUAAUAACUUGGAUUUUUAAAAAUAAAAAUUUUAAAUUAUAAGUUAAAACAAAUAAAUUUCAUUUCAAUUUCAAUUAUAUCUAAAUCCAACCCAAAAAUAUCACAAUAUUUUGAAUUUAUGCAAAAUUCACGUCUAUGAGAAUUUAGACAUUGUGAACUUAAAUUUUAAUUUACGCUUUGGGAUUUAGAGAUUGCAAUUUAAAAAAGAAAAUUUGGAGUUCGAAGGAAGUCAAGAGAAUCGAAAAUAGAAAUGUAAACUUAAUAAGAAACAAAAAAUGAGAUAAAAGUGAGUGGUUGUGACAUUAAAUAAUUUGGGUUAAAGAAAAAUAAUUCUUUUUUAACUUUUUUCAAUUUAAUGGACAAAAACAAAAUUAAAAGAUGGAAGAAAACAUUAAUAAAUUAAAAAUAAAGAGGUUUGAUUAAAAAGGGAGUGACAAAAGAAAAAAGGAUAGCGAGAGAGAGAGAGAGUUGAAAAUUAAAAAGAAAGAACCAUGAGAGGAUGAGAUUUUGUAAGAAAAAUGAAAAAAAGAAAUAUGAGUAUUUGAAAUAUGAAGAAAAAAUUUUAAAAAAAAAAUCAAGAUGCGAACUGGAGAAGCCGAGAGUGAGAAACGGAGGAAGUGAAAUUGAAAUGAAAUGUGCCGUCUGCACUUUCUUAAUGCUAGGGUUUUUUUAUUUAAUUUGAUUUUAUUUUUUAGUUAAAUAUAAUUCUACACAACAAUACCUCGUCCUUGGGCUAUGGUGUAGUGGCAAAACGUACCUUAUUGUUGGCUCAGAGACCUGAGUUUGAAUCUGGCAGUCUCCAUUCUUGCUAUUAUUUUGAAUUUGAGGUUAUAUUGUUUGAAAAUUUGAGAACCGCCGGUUCGCGGUUCAUACGGGUUUUAGCGGUUCGUGCGGUUCGUAGUGGGUUUCCAUUACCAUCCGGGUUUGACAUUGGACCGGACCGGUAGCAUGGCCGGUUCGCGACCGGUCCGGUCCGGUUCUAAAAACAUUGAGUGCUAUUAUGUGAGUGGAACUAUUCGAUUGCUCGACUUGUUUAGAUUUGCUAGUGUCCGAUGACGACUCAUUCAAUAUUUUUACACCAUAUGAGCUUGAACAAAUAUUUCGACUUGACAAGUAAUCGAAUGAACAUGAGAUUCGUUCGCGCCAAUAUAAACUCAUUUGUUAUUUUACAAAUUUUAGAAUUUCUCGAGCCUGUUCGAGAUUGGCUUGUUUAUAUUAAAUGAGUCAAACUCGAACUCGAAUUUUAAUUAACAAGGCAAACAUGAACAAAGCUCAACAAUUAUCAAAUGAACACAAGUUUUGUUCUACUAGUUUAACGAACAUAUAGUUCAAACAUGAGAUAUUUAGUUUGAUUCGACUCGUUUACAACUCAACUAUUGUAGCUAAGUUUACUUUUAAGCUUUUGUUUUUCAAAACAACAUUUAAAUAGUAUUAAAAUAAGUACGGAUAUUACAGCAAUUUUGCUUGCCUAGCCAACUUAUAGGCUACAAUAGCCUGAUCCCUAUAGAUUUUUUUUGUUUGAAACAAAACUUGUACAAAAAACUAAAAAAGGAUGCUAGUCCACAUAUGACAGCCAAGAUAGGCUGAGUGAGCAUAAAAGCCUUAGCGUUAUUAUUACUUCAUCUUCUUAAACUACAUCGCUACUAUUAAUUUACCUCCUAACAUUAUCUUUCGAUCACUUCACCUCCACAAGUAAUUCAAUUCAACAUGUUAACAAAUUUUGGAUAAAAAUAUCCGUUUAUUUUAUAGCAUUAUUACAUUGUUAUUAUCACUUCAUCCAUUUACACUGUUUUUCACACUUAUUAAUACUACAAAAAGAAAAAGAGAUAUGAGAGAAAGAGAUAAAAAAUUAGAUUUUGAAAAGAAAGAAUUUAAUAUUAUCGUAUUACUUUAACAUCAUCAGAACUAGAAUUGGAAUUGCGUGGUAAACAAAAAAGUAAAUUAUUUUUAAAAUAAUAAAAAUUGAAUUCUUUCUUAUUUGUAUUAAAAAAAAGAAUUGAACUCUCUCUCUCUCUAUCUUUCUCCCUCCCCUUAUUUUCUAUUUUUCUAAUAUUAAUAAAAUUACCAAGAAGAAAGAGAUUAAUGUUUUGAAUUUUUUUUCGAUACUAAAAAAGAGAUGAGUUAUUCUGAUUUUUUGUAUUGUUUUUAUUAUACAAAGAGUACGGUACUUUCUUUUAAAGUUUUUUAACUUGUUAAAUUAGUUUAACGGUAGGAUAAAUUGACUAAAAAUAACUCUAUGGGGUAAUUUGAUACUAGGAUUAUAGUUUAUGAGAAUAAAUUGAUAAUAAUUUUAAGGGCUAAACAUGUAUUUUCACUUGAAUUAACAAAUUUCAUUAAGUUUGACCAUUAAUUUUAGGGGUAAAGUGACUAAAAAGUAACAUGAAGGGAAAAAUUGAUAAUGACACUAAAUGUUAAGGAGGUAAAGUGAUAUCACACAAGUGUUGCAAAAGUAGCAAGCAUUCGGUCUUAAAAAUAACUGAGGUAUAGCCCAACCAUUGGAUCCACUAAAGUGAAUCGAAGCAAGCAAGUUUUUUUUUUUUUUUUUUUUUAAAAAAAAAGAACUAAGCAAGCCAGAGCUUCCGCCUAGAUUUCUAAAAAUGCACUACUAAUCUUUGCUGAAUUCUCGUGUGUUAAAACACGUUUAGGGUCAAGUGCUACCGCUACCCAUCCAUUCCCUGUGGCACUGGUUGACGGAUCAUAGCGGGUUCCGUUAUCAAAUGUGAUAAAUAAUUAAGUGCGAGGAGUGUCUGCAGUUCCAAUUUGUGUCAAACGAAAAUUCCAUGUUGCCAACCUGCUUUACCGAAAAAAAGAGGCCCGAAUCCGAUUCAUGACUUGACUUCAGUGGAGACAUUCAUGGUGCAGUUUUCACCAUCUGUUCCACCUCAAAGGUUGUGUCCUUUCCCAUUACCAUUUACCACUGGUUUCCUCGGGAUCCAAAUUCGCUAAACGAGGAGAGGAGGUCUCUCUUUAUCUCUUCCCUUCCCUACAUCGAGAACAGGUUGCUAAUAGACAGCAACCUCGUUCAAAUAGUACUAAUGCUGCUUCGUUCGUGGGACAUGCAUUGUACAAGGAAUUGCACUUUAGCAGGGAUAGGUAAAAGACCAAAUUAGCUUCCAAAUCUCUUGAUGAUUAAUUAACUGGUUCUGGUAUAGAGAGAACCCUGCGGAAGCUGCAGCUUCUUAACUAGCCAUUCCAUAUGAUACGAUACCCAAACGUGAUAAGAGUAGCAGCCAGCCUCUCAUAUCAUAUCUGGCUUCCAGUAUCGAAAAUUCUUUCCAUCUGCUAUAGGAAUAUGAAUGAAGCAAAUUCGUCAUAACUGCAGGUUCAGGAAACAAGACUUUAAGAAAUGCAAUUCGCCACUUUCUAUUUCCGUCAACUAGAUUCGUCACUUUUAGCUGGAGAUAAUAAUUAGAUAGAUAACAAGUUGUUUCCUAGUAGAGGAUUUUGAAUUCUUGAGAUUCAAAAAGUUGUGUUGAAUGUGAAUAGAAGAGCCAUUUACCACUUUCUAUUUCAGCCCUUGUUUUAUUUCAGGAGGUCUCUUGCCAAAUGAUAAUACGCUUCCCCAGCCCCAAGAGGCACUUGACUUUGUAGAGGCAGGCAUUGAGAAAAUCGCUUUUAUGACAGUACUUUGCAUUGAAAAGUUUGCUAAAUAAGGACUUAGGUUGAGAAAUGAUUCUACAAGCUGCUCUCACAGCACGAUUCAUUUCUUCUCUUUGACUGUAAUCCUGGUCCUCAAAAUUUCGAUUUACAUUUGAUAUGUUUCCCAUGGAAUCCCCAACCUUGUCAAUCCACCACCGUCCACAUAAAAACUAGCAAUGAGUUUGUCUAUUGAUUUGACGACAUGUACGUACUGGACUAGAGAUGACAGGAUUGACCUGGCCAAAGUUACUUCUCCAGCAAUAAUAGAGAGUGACGAGUUCUUUCAACAUGCUACACGUCUGAUUAUGCGAUGUGAAAAAUAUAGUCUCAGACCUUGAUAACGCCCGGUAAACAAGACAGAUGCGGCUGUGGCCUGUGAGAGUAGAGCAAAUAAAUUGUUGAGAAGAUAUAUAUAUACACACACACACACACUAGACUAACAAAUAUAUAUUAGUGUUUUAGGCAUACUUGUUAAUAUUUAAAUUUUUUUUAAAGAUAUUUGUUAAAAUUGUUUUUUAUGAGAUUUGGUUUUAUAUUUUUAUAAUAUAUACAGAAAAUUGACAUUUACUUAAAUAAAAUGUAUAAAUGGACUAUGAUUUGGCUGUGAGUAGUUAUAAAAAGAAAAGCACAAGUAGAUAUGAUAAUGAGCAGGAAAGACAAAAGUAGACAUGAUAGUAGGUAGUGAUAGAUUAUAAAAUAUCAAAUUUUUAUUUAUGUCAAAAGACUCCAUACCCUUUUAUAUAUGGUAUAAAUAGAGAUAAGGGUAAAUCUGAAAACACGUAAAAUUAAUACCAAAUCGGUGUUAACUAUCUGCGCAGACUUUAUUAUUAUAAAGAUAAUGCCUUAUUUUUAUUCUAUAUUCAUUUCAUUUAUUUUCUCCUUAUUUCAAAUUCCUUAUCAUUUUCUUAAGAAUCAAAUUUAUAACAAUAAAUAAUUAAAUAUAAUUAGACGAAAUCCUGGCAUAACAAUAAAUAAUUGAAAAGGCCCCCAAAAACCCUGGCCGCUAAACCCUAGCUCACCCACUCGACUGAGGAUGGAGUCGGCCUCCUAUUAGUAUUUGCAGUGACAAAUCCUGAACAGCACCCAUGGCAAUAAUGGCCGAAGAAGAUGAAAGGAGAAGCACAACGGCCAAAACCUUCCCAGUAAGGCCAAAGCUGAAACCCACCUCUAAUAAGUCCACCCCGACUGCAGAAUCCAAAUACUGGCGCUCCUUCAAAACUCCAAAAGACCUCCAACUUCCAGCCCUAGUAGCCUCCAUAACCUCCAUUUCUUUUGCUCCCACACCCCCUCAUGACUUCGCCCUCACCCACUCCGCCACCGUCACUAUCUUCUCCUCCCAAAAUCUCGAGCCCAAGGCCACAAUAUCCUCCGCCUUCUCCGACACCGCCACCUCCGCCUCCUUCCGCUCCGACUCUCGGCUCCUCGCCGCUGGUGACCUCUCUGGAUCUGUACACGUCUUCGAUGUUAAGUCCCGUAAUCCACUCCGUCGCCUCCGUGGCCACUCCCGGCCCGUCCGCCUGGUCCGCUACCCCCGGGUCGACAAGCUCCACCUCUUCUCCGGUGGCGAUGAUGCCGUUGUAAAGUACUGGGACGUCACCACUGAAACCCAACUUUUCAAUCUAUUAGGCCACAAAGACUACGUCCGGUGUGGCGACGCCUCUCCGGUGAGCGACGAUAUGUUUAUAUCGGGAUCUUAUGACCACACAGUUCGGGUCUGGGAUGUACGGGCCUCAACUUCGGGUUCUGUCAUGGAAAUUAGUCACGGUAAACCCGUGGAAGAUGUAAUUUACCUUCCAUCUGGCGGGAUAGUUGCCACUGCUGGCGGGAAUACCGUGAAAAUAUGGGAUUUAAUCGGAGGUGGGCGAUUACUCCAUACAAUGGAGAGUCACAACAAGACUGUUACAUCGCUUUGUGUGGGGAAGAUUGGGAGGGAGGGUGGGGAGGAGGCACAACAAUAUAGAAUUUUGAGCGUUUCAUUGGAUGGGUAUAUGAAGGUGUUUGAUUAUGCAAAGUACAAGAUCACUCAUUCGAUGAGGUUUCCGAACCCUUUAUUGUCUGUUGGGUUCUCACCGGAUUGUUCGACGAGGGUGAUUGGGACUUCCAAUGGGACAUUGUAUGUUGGAAGGAGGAGAGUGAAGGAGGAGAGUGCAGGGGAGCAGGCAUUAGUGGAUUUUGCAGGAUUGGCCGUCGCGGAGGAUGAGCCCAAGAGACGGUCACUAAGGCCGUCAUAUUUCAGGUACUUCCGCAGGGGCCAGAGUGAGAAGCCUAGUGAGACUGAUUACUUGAUUAUGAGGCCAAAGAAGGUGAAGUUGGCGGAGCAUGAUAAGCUGUUGAAGAAGUUCAGGCAUAAGGAAGCGCUGGUGGCUGCUCUGAAUGGGAAGAACCCAGAGAAUGUGGUGGCCGUCAUGGAGGAAUUAGUGGCGAGGAAAAAGUUGCUGAGAUGUGUUUCAAAUUUGGACUUUGAGGAGCUUGAGCUGUUGUUGCUGUUUCUGCAGAGGUACUCUACCAUGCCGAGGUAUGCAUCAUUUUUGAUGGGGCUGGUAAGUAAAGUUGUUGACAUGAGAACCGAAGACAUUAGAUCAUCUAAUGAAUUAAGAGGGCACAUUAGAAAUCUCAAGCGAGAUCUUGAGGAAGAGAUAAGAGUACAGCAGUCUUUGCAAGAAAUAGAGGGUAUAAUCUCUCCUUUACUAAGAAUUGCUGCCAGACGAUGAUUAUUCGAAUUUGCUGCCUCACAAUGAUUGUAGUCUUCUUCUGUAUGAACAUCUUAUUUAUUCAAAUAUUAUGCCCUCCUCUGUUUCAUUUUCUUGGAUCAACUCCAUAGAGAGAAGACAGAGACUAUUUAGCUGAUACUCUAAUGCACACUCCCCAGGUCCUGGAUUUUCUUCUAGAAAAUUGUUAAAUGAUGCCCUCUCCUUUCAGUCUUGUUUUUCUUUUCUUUGAUUGUCAUGGGUUAAAUCACUCACACCCCCCCCCCCCCCCCGCGGCGCUUUACUCCAGAAUGGUUGUUUUAUAGAACCGCAGGCUUAAGAUAGGCCAGACGAGCCUGCACCUUCUUUUUCAUGCAACAUGGAAUCUUGUUCUCAUUUUGAAGUAGAACUUCGGAAUUUUGUUCUCGUUAUGAAGCAGAGCUUACGGUCUUGUGAAUAUGCGGAAACACAUCUGCAAUGACCCAUAGAUUCUUUGCAAUUGUCGCGGACUUGGUCUCAGAUUCCGAUUCAGCCAGCAUCCAUUGUCACUAUCAAAUUAAUUUUCCCGGUCCGCUGGGAGAAUAUUCUGUUUCACCUUCCUUUAGCUAUAUGUUACUAAGGAAGAAUGAAAUUGUAUGGUAUGCGAACCUCAAUGAUCCGCAUCGAUAAGUGGCAAACUUGAUUGGCAUGGCGCAUAAAGAUUAGUAUUUUAAAACCUGGUACCAUUGAUGGAAAAGAAUGAGCGCAGGCUAUGAAUUGAUCACAACUACUCAGGGGGCGCUUGGUUCUUACUUUCGAAUUGGAAAGGGAAAUGGAAUAAUUCCUAGAGUAACCACUAAUGAGGGUUUUGGUCAAUUCCUUCCAAUUUGAUCAGAACCAUGAAUAGUCAAAGUUUAAGGCAUCAUUCCAAUAUUUCAAUUUCCAUUGCACUGGACCAAACGUGCAAUGUUGGAAUUAUUAUAAUUUCAAGUAACAAAACCCCUAAACCAAGCAGCCCCUCAGUUCUUUAAGAAAAACGGCUCUUAAAAUGUAUCCCACCAACAACAAAAACUGGGACAGUGGUAACUACCAUAGCGGAGGAACUUGGUAAAUUUGCUCAAUACCACCAUACAGAUGAUAGACAAAUACACAUCACAUCAUCUCUAGGAGAAGAAAGACUUCAACAUUCUAGCCAAUUUGCUCAAGAUACGAUACUAAAUCUAUGAUACAACUCACCAUGUACACAGGUAGGGCACUUCAAAGUGCAAAAGCAUAAGGUUGGGAACACGGUUGGCCUAAUAAAUUAACCAAGCAAAAAUCUGAAAGCUGGAAAACCAUGCUAGCUGGAAGCCCCUGCAUUGCAGAAAAUAGCUGUAACAUAUAAACAUAUAUGUACACACACACACACACACACAAAACCUCGUCCUUAUCAUUCAACUGAUUUUGAUGGAACAAAUAUUUCAAUGUUUUGUAACUGCUGUCAAACAUGGUUUAUCAACCAUUAAAGCUGUUUGACCAAAUCCUGGGCUAGAAAUUUUGAAACAAGUAAAAUCUAGCUUAUAAAGAAGUACUUUUCAAGUGUCCUUGCACAAAUUUUUUCUAGUUCUUUAACACAGUCUGACGGGCAAGCAAUUCAUUAAGUCUCUGGGUAAACUAUAAACACAGACCCACACAGGAAUACUGAAAUUUAUACCCGAGUAAAAUUUUAUAGUACAAGUUACGAACUUAUACCUGAUGUUCUGGAAGCAGCCAAGUCCCCUGCAGCUCUACUAGCGUCCCCCAUUUUAGCUUGACUUCUCUUUUCCUCCCUGGAAACCCUCAGUGCCCUUAACUUGGAUGAUGAUUUAAAGGACCGUAUCAAAGGAGCGUCCUCUUCUUCCUCUUCUUGCUUCUCUUCUUCACCUUCAGCAAACUGAUCAGAUUCACUGAUUGAAUCUUCUUCUUCACUUGAACUAUUCUCAUCAAAGAGUUUCUUUCCUUGUAAAUUCUGCUUUUUUCUUGGGCGACCACGGCGUCUCACAGUUGUCCCUUCUUUCUCAUCUGCAAAUCAAUUGUGUUUUCAUAAUAUUAAGCAAUACAUCCCAACCAGCUCACUUUAUUUAACCAUGUAUGAAGAAAUUUUUGGACCAUAUUUCACCCCUCAAUACCAAAGAAACUCUAAAAAGAGCUACUUUCAGAACCCAGUUAACGAUCAGAAGCAGGUACCCAGUGACUUGAAGAAUCAAAAUCAAAACUCAUUGCAAGUGCAACCAUUGAUGACAAAUUCAGAGGUUAUACUAAUACAAGAGAGAGACAAUCCAAAAUUAAAGAAUAAAGAUAUAACUUCAAAAAGCUAACUCUAACAAUAACACAGCACUGAAAACCCAAAGUGCAAUCAUAGGAAUACCUUGUAAGCCCUCAUCUUUGUCAUACUUCUCACGAAGAGUGUCAACAAAUGCAAAAUAUGGGCGCCAGCCGCUGGGAUCUUCGUCGGUGUUGACGUUUUCAGUUCUUUUUUCAACAUCUUUCAGCCUGCUCAUGGAAAAGCAAGCAUUAAUGUAAUCUCUAAUGGACUCUCCUUCACAACAUUGGGCCAACAUACUGCCAAGAAGUAAAAUUCUUACACAUUCAGAAUAUCGGUUGGGGGAAGUUUGGACACAAAAUGCAGAACAGCGCCAUCCAAGAAAGACAGUUGCUUUGGUGCAUCCCUAAAUGCAUACUCAAUUCCAGCUGAGACAAUAUAAAGAAUGUCCGAUCUAUACUUGUUUCGAGAAACGCCGACGAAAAGUCCAGAAAGCCGAGCAGCCAGAUGUUUACAGUCCUGAAAUGACUUGCUCGCUAGGGACUCAUCACGGCCAGUAGAAAGUACUACCAGAUGCCGUUGAUAGGCCUAUUCUCACCAAAAGCACGAGAUAUAAGUAUAAUUGAAGUAGAAAUAAAGCACAAAUAUCAAUCCAAUGACAAAAUCCAAGAGUAUGAUCUAAUGUUAGCACACCUGAACUGUUCCCCAUCAGUGAAUCACUUGGAAAAAAUUCAUGUAUUUUUUCAUUCUUCUUUCAGUUAGUAACAUAAAACAAGCUAUUAAUUUUUUUCUUCAAACCUUCAAAUUAUUAUCUCUUACCCUGUUGUCCACAUUCUCUAUGUAACUUUACAUUCUUCCUGAUAAGCAAAGCAUAGAUAUUCUUUGCAUGUUUGCAUAUCAAACUAUUUGAUUCUCUCAACUAAAUAGAUAAUAUUUAUCAUCCAAAAGCAUCUAAAACAGUGACAAUUUUGAAAUAUCCAUAUUUAUAGUCUAAAAAUUAAUGCUACUAUUUAUGUAAUUUCAUCCACAAGCAUGCAGUCAGUUCACAAACUGUAUCUGAUGACAUUAAAUUGCUUAUUCAAAAGUGGUUUACUUUUGAAUUUCUGGUCAGCAGACAGAUAAUGUAAAUAGUCCUUCAAACCAUACAAAAUUCCUUGCUACCAUAAUUUAGAACAUCCUAGACUCUCCCCUCUCUAAUCAUCCAGUCUUAGACUUGAAGAUCGUUGAUAUUAAAUAUGGCCUAGAUUACAAUACAUUCGAUUGUUCAUUAUCAACUUUACAUUUCUAUAUCCACAUACAAAUAUUUCUUAAAACAGAAAGUAACUACGGGCUAGUCAGUAUCACUUAUAACUCCAAAUCCAAGUCCACCACAAGCAUUCUACAUGAAGCUGAUCAAAUUUUGCUGGAUAUAACACAAGCAUCCCACUGGCUCACAUACAUGUAGAAAAGAAACUAAAACCCGAAUCCACAUGUACAAGAAUACUUUCUUCUCCAGCAAGUUUUAUUUGAGAGAUAACUCCUGUUCUCAAUUUGCAAGACAGCAUAAUUCAAGUCCUGAUACAAGGUAACUUCAUACAGUAGCCUAGCAAUUCUAUUCCUGUUGUGUCCUUUCCACCCUAACCACAGUACACUAAUACAGAACAAAGUUUUGAAGAUAUAACAAACAAAUGAAGAUAAAAGGUAUCCUGAUAAGAACAUAUUUUCUUUGACUUCAUUCCUUAACUUACAAAUCUGAGUCAAGACUCACGUUGCAGGGAACUCUCAGCUAACAAGAGUAAGAUAAACAAUUCUGCUUCCUAGACACAAUUAUUAAAUUAUUAACCUGGUUGUCAAUGAUGAACAACAAAGUCUUACCCUUUUUAAAGCAUCUAGGAGAAUAAUUGACAUAUCACCAUCUUUUUUCCGUAAAACAGCAAUUAGAUGCUUUACAAUCUCAGCCACACUCGUUCCGUGCAUCACAAAAUGAGAGAUAAUCUCUGAACCAAGAUAAUCCUGCACUCAUCAAUUUUAGAAAACAAAUUAUCAAACCAUUUUGCCGCUAAAAAAUCAAAAAUUAAUCAUAGACAAUUAAGCAACCCCCGUGCAGAAAUCAUUAUUUCCAUUCCCCAAGCAGAAUUGCCAGACAUCCUCAACAAGUAUUAACAUAUGGAAGCAUCUGUAACUGACCUUAGGAACUGCUUCAGUAGCAACAACUUUCGCAGCAGCAAUCAUAACGGCAUCACGAUUGGUCUCCUCAACAUAUUCCUUGUUAACAUCUUCAUCUUCUGUUUCGUCUGUUGCAUGUUUGCAGGGGAAUGAUGUUUUAAAAAAACUGUGCUGAAAGCAACAGUUAAUGUUGGUAAUUUUAUGGGCAAAAUAAGGAUCACGUUAUUUUUUGAGUCUUCACUACUUUGGCCUCCGCAAAAUACAAAGUUGGGAAGGACAUGUUAAAACUACCUCAGAAAAACUUUCAAAGAAAGAUUUCAUAAAAAUACAUUAAGAUGGGAAGACAAGAUGAGUUUAUCACGCUAUCAUUGAUAUUUCAUCAUUGUGUAAAUUCAGGCCUGGUGAUAACCUUAAGAGUGUAGUUUGGAUAAGGAAAUUAGAAAUUUAUGAUCAGCAUCACAAGAAGAAACUGUACGGCAAAUACAAACUCCUACUACACUGGGACACUGAUUGAUUAUAGAGUAAAAGGUACUAAGACAAAUGCAGAGAUCACCAUCCAACCCAAAGCACAACAAAAAUGAAUUGAACAUUCAACAACUUUUGUUUACAUAAAGCCCAAACCACCUGAAACAUGCAGUUGUUGCUCACACGUUCUCCAAAACUUUUGAAGAAUGGGCUCAGAUGGACAAAAGCCUAGGCUUUCCAAUUUUGUUGAAGCAUAAUUAUCCAUUCUGAACAAGCACCAGAUUUCCGCAAGUAUUGUACAUACCUUCAUGAAGCAUAAGACCAGUUAGCCCAGAGAGAUUUUAAAAUAUGUGAACAGCUUAUUUCAGCAAAAAGCUGUGCGACAAAAUAAGGUGGCUGAGCAUGUAUACAAGUUCAAAAAGGACGUAUACCCUGCAUGCCAACUGACUUCCAGAUUUACUCUCUUCUUCAUUUUCAGGAUGGAGUAGAAAGUGCUCAAGUUGUUCACACAAGGUAGUGCGUUUCAGCAGAAGGGAGGCCACUGUUGCCUCAGAGACUUUUUCACUAGUUAUAAUUGAAUGCAGCGACCAGGCAACAUGCAUAUACAUGUUAAGAAGAACGAAAGAGAUGACCUGAAUUAUCACAGGCAGAUAAUAUCAUGAUAGAUAGAUAGACAGACAGACACAGGGAGAGAGAGAGAGAGAGGGAGAGGGAGAGGGAGAGGGAGAGGGAGAGGGAGGGAGGGGAAUAAAUCAGGUUUUCACAUAACUAACCUCCUCGUCUAUGUUUCUGAAACGUUGAAGGAUCUGGCAAAAAUCAUCAUACAAGCUAUCAAUGCCAAUUUGUCUCAACAACUGGAAUUCAUAUAACCUUUUCAAAUUUACGAGGAGAGAGUAUUCAUCAUCACCAUCCUGAAGAACUAAUGUAUCAGCUUUUAACAAUUGCUUCAAAACGUCAGGAAACAAGAUAACUCAUUGUCUAUAUUUUACCGCAAUUUCUCUCAUUGCUGAUCUAAAUUUGAUGAUAAGCUCAUCCUCAAGCUCUUUUAAUUGAUUUUGUGCAAAAUCUUGUAACUCUCCUCGGCUCUCUGUUGCACAGUAGUUGAAAGCUUUGACGCAAGAUCUUAGAGCAUCUUUUUCACCGUGCUUGAAGAAUGCUUCUUUUACAAGCUUAAGUAUAUUUUUGAAACUCUAAAAGUACAGUUAAAAGACAAAACAUCAAUGCUAUCAAAAGCUGCACUAACUAUUCCAUUCAGGAGACGUGUAGUGACACCAACCUGCUCUUGUCUCUUUAGUGAAUAAAGUUCAAGAUUCAUAUGAACAAUGAUUUCCACCAGAAAUGGUACUUUUUCCUUGUCAACCAUGAAUUUGCGAAGAAGCUGAGGAUAGUUCUUCAUCAUAGCAAUAGUAAUAUCACGUCUGUGGUUGUCAAACAUUUCCUGUGGUAGCAAGAGGAAAACUAAACUUUAGCUAUUCAACUUUUAGCUUUUCAUUCAUUCCUGAGGAGCUUUCUUUUAUUUUAUUCUAUUUUUUUAUGGAUUUUAUAGGGAAUUUGGUAGAUAAUUUAUUUACUAACAUAGGCCUCACAGUAAACUUGACAUAUAAGCUGCUUGAUUCAGUUCAAAGUAUCUAUGAAGAAACUGCAACUAUUCAAGAGAGCCAAAGCUCAAAGAACUACAGUACUUAAUUUUCUUCUAUUCCAGUGCCACCACUCAAAAGGAUUAAAUUUUCUGGUUGUCUAUGUUUUGCAUUGAAACAGGAGUUAGCAAACUCAUGCGAAAGGGAUCAAGCAAAAGUUCACUAAAUUGAACCUUCGUAAAAACAUUCUCCAACAAGUAAGCUUUUCAAACAACAUGGGCAUUCUUAGAUGCAUUAGUCUAAUUGACAAUAGAUGGAAGGUCCAGAGCAAAAACAAAGGACCUAAAUGUCUUAUUCUGGUUUAUACCAAGAAAGACAUACAUUAAAGAACCAUGAAGCAUAAGAUGCAUAUCUACGACUGAGAAGCUUCAUAGAUCAUUCUUAAUGUAAUACUCAAAUGCAAAAUAGAUAAAUCAUGAAACAGCAUAUGCAGAUGUGUCAAGGAAUCACAUGAUCCUCUUGAAAAAUCUAAGGAUGGAAAAUCAAGGGUCAACUGAUAUAUAAACAACAAUAAGAACAAGUUAAUUCCUUUUGUUUUAAGCAGAACUAACCUUUAAUCUACGAGAAAAAAAAGGCAUUGCAUCACAAAAGGAUGAUUAAUGAAGUAUAUAUAGAUAAAUUUCACGGAAAACUCACUCGUUGUGCUUUAGUAUAAUACUGCUUUCUAUUAUCAGUGGCUGGCACAAUCCUUUCUCCCACUGCCUUUUUAAUAGAUGAGCAAAUAAGUCGAAUCAAGCUUGUGGCAUCCACAUCACUUAGCUCAGAAGAUGGAUUUUCAUCCAAAAGCAUAGAAAUGAUACACUUCCAGUCCUACAACAAGAUUCAUGUUAGAAUAUCAUCAAUAUUCAUACAAUACCUUCCACCAAAAACCUCUCCAUGUAUACUAAGGAAAGGAAAGGAAAGGAUACCAGUGGAAACAAAAGGAAAGGAGGAGGAGGAAAGUGGUUUCCGUCCAUCUUGUUUGGAUUAAGUAUGGAAGGAAAAGAAGGAAACAUUAAAUGUGUUGUUUGGAUUGAGGAAGGUAAAGAAAGGAAAGGAAAAGUUCAAGUGUUAGUUAAUUUGUAAGGAAUAAAAGAAUAUUUCAAAAAAGUUUAAAUCAUUGCAUUUAUUUUAAUUCCUUUUCCUUCAGCAACCAAUUCAUAUAAAUAACUAGACCCUUUCCCGCCGCAAAAAUCAACCCCAAAAAAAAAAGAUACAACUAAAUCCCUCCAAUUCCUUCCCCUUCCUUGCCCUCCCAAUUGGUCAAUUGGUGCCUAAAGGAAUUGGAGCAAUAAUCUAGUAGGACCAAACCAAUCCUAAGACAAGUUGCAGAAGGCAGAGGAACAUCAGGAUUUAGUUGCACUUUCAUCAUCCAUAUUUCUGUGGCUUCUUUCCCUUUUAAGAUGUCCAAUUUUACUAUAACUUGGUGGGUUAUGGGCUAGCACUUUCAUGAAGAGUGGCCACUACCUACUUACACCAAAUGAAGGGAUUUUCCACGUGAAAAUCUAAUACAAUCCUUAUACAGGCUCAUCAAUUUCCCAAAAAGACCUCUAUAUAUUUUUUCCUUUGCUCACUGCCCAUUCUCUCCCUUAGUCUCCUUCAUUUCUUUCAUGAAAUGAGAGAGUAUUUCCCAAUCUGACCUUAGAACAAGUAAAAUAUUUUGAAACAAAUAUUGUUUAACAAUCCAUUUACUUAGAUGUAAGAUGUGGCUAAUGGCACCAAUUCAAUUCAAAUUAAGCUGUGCAACAUACUUUCAUGGCAUCCAUGUACUCCCAGACGUCAUCAAUUACAUAUGUACUAAGAAUUUGAUCAGUUGAAAACUCUCGCAAUAUCUGUAACAUUCUACUAAGAUGAACCUCCGAGGAAUCAUCUUCAUCACCUGCAAAAGAAAAUUCUGAUUGAUGCAAUCAUGCAAGCACUUAAAAUAGAUGCAGGUAAAGCAAAUGUAAUGAAACAUAGUUAAGGAAACCUGUAGAUUGGGAGCUAUUAAAUUUCUGAGCAAUCAAAUGAUCAUACACUAGUGCCCCAAUGGCACGCCUGAUCUCUGGAGGCUCAUCAAUUAAUAAGUCAUAUAAAGAACCUAAUUCUUCAUCAGGAACAAGUUGAUGUCUGCAGGACAUAAGAAAGACAACUUAUUAAGCAACAGCCUCCACAAGUACAUGCGACCUUGCAAAAAUAGCUAUUAUGCUUUCUUCUACUUUAUCCCAAGCCCCCACCCACCACCUGGAAAAGAACAAUCAGUGAUUCCUAAUUAGAGCAAUACCUUAGUAGUUGUUUCACAAGUCCAAUAGCACAUACUGCCACAGAAAUAUCAAUGUCAUCAGCAAGCUCAAGCAUCCGUUUAUAAAACCUCUCGGUGAAGACGCCAAGGGAUGGGACAUUAUCAUCCACUUCAUAAAGAUUUUGUAGCGCAAGGACAGAAGCUUUUCGUACACCAGAACUCUUCAAAUAUAACCAAAAUAUCAAGCAAAAAUGAGUUUUCUGUACCUCAGGCGAUUUGCAAACAAAACACACGAUACAAAGCUUGAUUAGCAGAGCAGCUUACUUUGUCAUUCAGUGUCCAUCCCAGAUAUUUCAAGUACAAAUCCUGGAGGAACAGUGAUGGAUAUAACAAAAUCCAAUCACCAAGAGACUGAAUGCAUGACAUUCGGAUUUCAGGAUCUAUAUCUCGGUACCGGUGUACAAAUAACCUAUGGAAAGUAAUAUGUAUAAUGCAUUUAAGAGAGCAAGAACAAGAAGUGUUAAGAACCUCUGCAUAACCUACAUCAGAUGACAAAGAAAAACCAUGCACUCUACAUGGGAAUAUGUAUAGGUGCAUUCACAGAUAUAUAAUUUUUGUAUAGUAGUUUAAGUUAUAAGAAAAAACCAAAAAAGAAAAGAGAGUGAGUUGAAUUGAGGCAAGGAAAAAGCAUGGCUUGUCUGCAACACUGAUAAGCCAGUGAUUGAGGGGAAAAAGAUCAAACCCAGAGGAACCUGGCACUAAAAUUCCUUAUCUGAAGUGAACCUUCACACACAGUGCAGUUGAAACUAAUAACACUUGUAACAGUCAAGCCAACAACACUAGAAACAUUUCACUAGCGAAUUCAAACAUCCCAUUACCUACAGAGGCACACAACCAAGACCACACUUACAGCAGUUAUAAAAAAUUAACUUCAAUACAUAUCUUGCUAAUUUAACACUACUUCAUUCCAUGUGAAACGUCUUCUUUUAUUUUUUUCAUUUAUGCCAAAGUUAAGUUAAAACUAUUUCACACAAAACUUUUUAACCGCAUGCUCGGGGGCUACAUCUGUACCAUCUCUAAACAAUAUGAAAUUUUCAACUCUUUCUUAAUUUCCAUGGUCUGUAAAAGUUGAACAUUCAUUUUGAGAGGAAAGUUAGUCAAGUUACAUCAUAAUAAUAAUAAUAAUAAUAAUAAUAAACAAUGUACCCUACAAAAAGUGGAUCCUACCCAGUGAAUAGUUUGCGCAUCAUCUCCUCUAUCACAGUUACCCUCUCAUGUGUCAUGGAUAGCCUCUUAUUGAGCGACUCCACACGGGGCCCAUCAGUUCUUUUUUUCUUUUCAGCAUUUAAUUGCCUCUGAGUAGUUUCUCGCUGUACACCAAGCAUCUUGGCAACAUUUAUGAAGGAUGUAACAAGCUGAAGCCCCAUCAGUGAAGCAACCUGACGGUAAACUCUUGGAGGAGUACUAAAAUCCAAGGGCAUAAAUAAAUAAAUUAAUUAGAUAACUGAACCAGUUAAAGGGCAUUUGAUAACAAUGGAAAUCACAUACCAUGAUAAUGCAAUUAUGUAGUCCAUACACUUGUCAAAUAAGCCCUGAUCAAAUAGUGGUCCAUUUUGACACUCAACAACUACACUGUCCCAGAAAGCCACAAGAUUAUCCUUGAAAAUCUUGAAUUCCUUCUUUGAACUUUGAUAAUCUUCAACUGCACCCUAAGAUUUCAUGAUUAUCAUGGAAAACUAGGUGCAGAGGUUAAUGUAUUGGAUGAUACACAACUUUCAGUCUAGAACAUAAGAAGUAUGCUAAUGUGAAAAUUUUGUUCAGAAAAUACAGUGUGUAUAUGGAGCAUAGAAAUUGUAAAUCUAAUUAAGAAGGAUACUUUGCUGGCCAGAUUAACAAGAGCAACUACUACAUCGUCAACAUCAGUCUUAUCCAGGAAUUCUUCUUUAAUGUGAUACUUUGCUCCACAUGCCUACAUUGUUGAAAGUUUCAAGCGUGGUUAACACAUCAUAUCAGACCAUCAAAAGAUAAAAAUGGAAGAACUUUAGAAGUUCAAAAUUUUCAAGAACAAAUCACCUCAAAGAGCAUUGUUAGAAGUUCAACUGUUGCAGGCUUUGGAUCUUUCUCAUAUCUUUCAACCCAAUGUUUAACCAAUUGAGGAAUUUGUUUCCCAUUCCCUUUAAUAAUCUCUGCAGUUCAAUUGAAGUUCAUCCUCUUAGAAUCAAUAAAUAAAAUGUUUACCAAAAAAAAAAGAAAAAUCCUCCUAAAUGAGCGCACACGAGAAGCACGUAAAAUAUUAUGUGAUAUUAGCAACCAAAAUAACUUAGGUACACUAAAAGACAAUGUAAACAAAGCAGCAUCACAUAAACAUCAAGAAUUUGGAAAAUGCUUUACUAUUCAAUAACUGGACAGAUAAGCUGGACUUUGUAGAUUUCUUAAUUUUGCAAGUCAAACAAUCAAGUUACAGGUAAAAGAUCAUAAACUGACAUCGAGUAAGGAACUAAGCAAGCUAUAAAAGUCAUUUCUCCAAAAAGCCGUUAAUAGCAGAAACUACAGCUACAAAGUUCAGAGCCAAUUGGGAAAUCGCAACAUGAUGAACUUGGUAUUUGCUCUGCGAAACUGCAAGUGAAGAAGAAAAAAGGUCCCCUGAUUGGAAAACAAUUUAUCACGUAGAAGAGGACAAGUUGUUGAAUGAGACGGCAUAACCAAUCAGACAACAGUUAAGCAACCGUAAAGUUAAAUCUAAUUGUAAGAGUACCAGUCAUCGACAGAAAGAACUGACAAUUCUUAAUUGAAAAAUGGACCAAAAAGGUCUUGCAAAUCCACAACUCCGUAGUGUAAAAAGAAGAAUCCUCUAAGGUCGAGGAACUUGUGAAACUCUUCAAGGAACAAAACCACAACAAAAAAUCCACGGCAGUGGUAACAAAAGUGAAAUAUACCAAUCAAGCGCUGGCUUGGCUUCCGUCCGGAGGCGGAAACACCAACAGCAGUAGCCCUAUUUCUCUUAGCUUUGGAGCGAGAUUCUUCAAAAUCGUCAGAAGACUCCUCUCUUUCCUCCUCCUCGUUCUCGCUAAUUUCUCCACGAGUGCUAUUGGCGGCCUUGCUGUGGGGGGCCUGUGGUUGUGCUCGGUCGUCGUUGGCUCUAGUCUGAGCCCUAGUUCUUUUCUACUUGGGAAAAAAUUAACAGGAAUUAGGCAACUAACCGGAAAAGAUGAAGAUAUACGGACCUACACCAACCAAAGUUAACUUGGAAAACAAAUAAAAACUAACCGAACGGCGAGUGACGAUCUCCGAUGCGACUUGCUCGUCUUCCAUCAAAAGUACACACGGCUACAGCCUCCUCUCUGUUUGCCGUACGGCGAGAGAGAAAUACUAGCAGUGAAAGUGAAUGAGUAUGGUGGGGAGCGGAGAAAUGGAGCUUUGCCUAGGGUUAAAAAUUAGUAUGAGAGAGCUAUCUAGAGUUUGUGAUUUGUGUGAAUGAGCGAAGUUAAAUCCCAAACCUCCCGCCAACAAAUUCAGGAGAAAGUUUAGAAAUAUGCUGCUGCUCCUACACAACUUACGCUUACUAGCAGUUCGUCUAUAAUAAUCAGAGGGAGGAGCGGAAAACCCCCAUAAUACGGUGACGCUGUCUUGCUUCAGAAGCCUCUCUGUCCAAGACGGACAGUGGUGCUUGCCGCUGUGGAGCUGGGGUCCGGUCCGGUAUAAAAUUCCUUUCCUUUCUACUCUUUUUUCGUCCCUCCAUGGGGAAAUUUGCAAAUUUGUUGAGCUUUUUCUUUCUGGAUUUCUCGAGUAUCUUUUUUUUUUUUUUAACUAUCAGUUGGUUUGUUUGGAUAAAGUAUUAUUUAAAAUAUUGUUUCGAAUAAUUAUUAUACUAUUUUUAAUAAUAUGAUAUAUAUAUAAAAUAAAAAAAUAAUUAAAAAUAUAAAUUAGAAAAUAUGCUUCCGAUGCAAAAAAAUAUUAUUUGAAAAUAAUUGAUAUCCAAACACAGCCACAUGUGUAUUAUUCACUCAAGACAUCGGCCUCCUGCGACUUCCAUGUAGACAACCGUCUAAGCUAAUUAAUAAUUAAACCCAACACUAACUUGACCUUAAUAUAUAGCAUAAAAUAAUAUCAAAUAAUGUAGAAUUCUAAUUAGCUUGGUUUAAAACUCCUUAAAGGCAUCAAGAAACCAUAAGCGGGGAAAAAAAAAAAAGAACCACCAUCUAUGACGAGAUUUUAACGAGUUAUUAUACCUAAGCUGAAGGUUUCAAACGGCUCUUUUUCUCAUUAUCUUAAUUCACAUAAUUUACCCCUGGAUGCAUGUACUUGGGACUUAUAAAUACAAAAGUACAUUGGGCAGACGUGCAACUAUUACCCAAACAAAUUCUGCGGUACAAUUGUCGGAUCCACGCUGCACAAGUCAAUUGCCAUGGUACCCAUGUUUACGUGAAAGCAUCGGGGCAUCAAGGGCUUACUUGGACUUCCAUUAAACCAGACAAACAUAUUGCUUCCUCCCUGAUCACCCGAAGACCUCAUGUCAUGUCGGCUUUGGCAAUGAACAAGGUGGACAUGAUCAGGAUGCGCUAGCCAUUGAUUCAAUUAGAAGCUGGUAACCUUCAGGAACAGCUGACCGUGUAUGGACACAUUCAGCCAAUGCAGGGACAUCAGCAUUGAUGUCCAAAAACCUAGCCAGCAAGAGUAGCAGAUGGAAGUCAGAAAUUCGCUUCACAAAUGGGAGGUUCUUUGCUCGGUCCAGAUGGCUUCUCAAAGCUUUCAUGGUGACAAGAUCAUUUCUGUUCUCAAUUGGAAAUGUUGAUGAAAGAGGACCCUGCAUCAUAUAUAAUAAUUGGUGCGUGUUAAAAGCAUCUUAGAAUAGGCAUCCAAAUCUACGAAUUUAAGUUACAACCACAAAUUCACAAAUUCAAAAACAAAAAUUAAGGUAAAAAUAUCCUUAGAAAUACAAAACCAGCUCAAAGAAUAAAAUCAAUGCACUUGACCUCAAGGAUAGCAAGUAUAGAAUUACUCAAACAAAAGACCAAAGUUCCAAAAGGAGGUACAGUAACCAAGUCAAAAGCUAAAACAUACAACCAUUAGUUCUGAUGUAAAGUACUCUAAUUUAAGCAUUCAUAGCAGCAGUAUGCCUAUUGCAACUAGGGCUAAGAGCUAACGUAUACAAGGUAAGCAACUGCAACACACAACACAAGCAAUUAGUAAUGACUGAUCCAAUCAUCAGUACAGGUGGAUAAAGCCAGUUCGAAAAUGAGAAUGCUAAAAUUAUACAGCAAUUAAUUAUAAAAUUGUCUGACAUUUAUGUUGGAUGUCAAAACUUAUCAGUCCUAGCCCCAAGCUCAAACCUGAACCCUAAAAAACUCCUAGUUUUCAUCACCUUGCCAUUCUCCCUUUUCCUGAUUAGUCUAUUUAGACAGUAUGCAAUACACUAAUAGCAAAUAACUCAACAUACAAUAAAGAGAUGGCAUCAUAUAACAGAUCAACUGCAAAUAGCCAUUGGGAUUAUAUACCUGUGGCUUGUAAUCACCUAAGAAGGCAAUCAUCUUGAAAAAAGAAAAAUAUGGGAGAACGUUAAACUAACCCCCAUACUUAUGCAUCGUACAACAGAGCUACCACAAACUUGAAGCCUUUUCCAGGACUUUGACACACAUUUACUUUCAUAAAACUACUUGCCAGGAUUGAACAUUACAUCACCUAGCCAUUCUCCCUUAUAUGCAGUUUAUUUACAAAUCAAAUGAUAUGUCUUGUGAACAUCACAUCAAGCGCAAAAUAACAUGUCAUAACACAUACAAGGAUACUUGUAUUUAACUAGUUAUUAAAUAAGAAAUCCUUCUUCAAAUACAACUUAAUAUAGUUCAAAGAAAAACUGGAAAGGGAUACAACGCAAAAAAGGAUUGUCCACUCUAGAUAAAUCACAGGUGUAUAUAGACUGGAGAGAAGGAGAAAAUAUCAGAAUAGCAAAGUAGAAAAGAAAGUUCAACGCUUCCAGAUCCAAUAAAGAUCUAUUAUGCCAUGUCCUAGUUCUUAGUUCAUGUAUGUAAAUUAUUUGAAUGGUCUUGUAAAACUGAAUGCCAUGGAUAAACUUAGGACAUAGUAUAACUAUCUUUUUCCUUUUCUACCUGGUUCCAAAUCUACAUUGCUUUGGAAGCCAGCUAAUCUCAACCAGUGGAACCACAUCUCGGUCUAUCAAACUCAAGCAUACUAAGUACUAUGCACCAGCCUCUUGUAUACUUCCUAAAUAGCUUCUUUUUGCACUGAAGCACAACAUAAAACCAUUGUCUGCUGACAAACCUAGUGAAAUAAAGCUCAUAGCAGCUUAAUACUAUCAGGCAAGCUCUUGCAAGAUUAGAUUUUUCCUGUCAGCUAAAACCAUAUUCACUUGGUACAUUCAUUUGACAAGAAGGUUAGUCUAACAUUCAUGAUCAGAAUAGCUUUCAAAUGAAAAAGAAAGUAGGAAAGCAGUAUGAAGCUGAGAUGGCCGCUACAAAAGCCAUACCAAUGAUCAAAGAUUAUAGGUGCUAGUAAUUCUCUUAUCCAUGGAUAAAGGCUCCAGGAGGCUAGCCAAAAGAGGAAACCAAAAAGAUGACACGGUUCAAAUUCAAAUCCUAGACAUCCACAUUUAAGAUCACUUCCAAGUUACAAUAAUGAAGGAAAAGUCUGCUUGUAUUAUACCAAGUUGAAAAGGAACCAAAACGUCCAGAAUUUUGGAGCAAUCAAAUUUCUCCCAUUUUCAAGGUCAAGCAACCGAGAUACAAAAAAGGAACUAAUGGCUUCUUAUCUCUAACAAUCAGAACACCAUGUAUCGCAAAGACACUUAAAAAAAAUUCUACCGCCACCACCCCCAUACCCCAAACAAAGACGAAUCUUUCAGACAUAAACAAUUGCUAUGAUGUACCUGGUGAUCAGAAAUCUUGACAACGACCAAGAAGAAGUCAUUGUCAACCUCUUUAGUAUCUUUCACUCCGACUACAACAUCCUUUUUCAUUCUAGAUAGCUUCGGAUCAAGCCCUUCCGGAAUUACUGUCUCAAACCAUCCUUCCUUGAACAACCUAAUGCACAUAUCGCUCAUCUGAAACGCCUCAAAAUGCACAUUAGCAAGCCCAUCUUCAUUCACCUCCAGCUUCACCACCGCCGUGACCCACUCCUUCAAAUCGCCCUCAGCAUGCAGCUCGGCAGCCUGCAAAAUCUCGGCAUUGGACAUGGUGAAAUCCUUCUUGUCCUGACUAAUGGUCUGCGUAAAUAUAAAUCCCACUUUCCUCAUCCCCAACCCCGCAGCUAUCGCUUCCACCAGUUUUUCCUCAUCUGGAUCGCGCAAGAGAAUCAAAUUCUCAUCCGUCCCCUGCUGCGGCGGCUCGUAUAUAAAAUCCACCUCCACUUUUCCCUCCGGAGACACCGUUCCGUACAUAAAACCCCCGCGCUUCACCGCAAAAGCCAGGGUAUCGUUUACAUAAUGCUGGAAGGCGUUAGCGGCGUCGCGAUCGAAAGACACUAAUUCACAGUGAGAAACCUCUUGGCGCGUAACCCGCAUUUGCUUAGCGAUGAGGUCAUCCAUGGUCAUCUUCUUGCCGAAGGAGCCGGCGGGGUUGAUGAGGGGGCCACCGGCGACAGUGCGUUCGCCGUCGUAUGCGAGAAAAAUGAUGGAGCCGUGGGUGAGGUUGAGGGAGGAGAGUGGGGUUUGGGGAUUGGACAUGUCGGUGAACCUGGAGAGAUCAUCUAGGGUUUUGGCCAACAAGAGGUUUUGAUUGGUGGAGAGGGUUUGGGAUUGGGUGGGAACCCGGAGUUGGGAUUCGAUUUGGGAUUUGAGUUCGCCGAUUGUGGAUUGUGGGUUUUCGAUUUUGAGUCUUUCCAGCCCAUCUCUGCUUCGAAUUCGUAGCAUCAUCUUCGCCGUCGCAAACCUUUUUUCUCCGGCUAGGAAAGUUGUCUAUAAUUUGGGUAAUAUAUACCGAUAUACGCACGAACUAGUGGUAGGUAGUGGUACGGGUAGCAGAGCAGAAAAUACACUACUAUAUAACGAUGAUAUGAUGAAUCGUGUGCCUCAAGUUGAUUAUCACCUCUAAGCUAGGCGGGGAAGUUUGGUAUGUUAAUUACCAGAGGAGAUCCCAAUGGAGAUCAGCUCCCAAGAGGAUUAAGGAAUCUCUUCUCUGGCCGAGUGGAACUUGGAACAAGAAAAGAAUGGCUUGUAGAGCCGCACACGUUAAGUACUUAACUCGAGUUUGUUCUAAAUUCCAACUAUAAGGUACCUCUUUCCUUUUGCUUUUUUUUUUUUUUUUUUUUUUUUUUGGGUCUAGCAAAUUCUUUUCUUUUUUUUUUGUGACUAAGGCUGUUAUUUUUAUGAGAUUCUUUCCUAUCCAAUCUCCAUCUCUUCUUCAAGAUAAAUAAUUAGUGUGUUUGAAUAGUAGAUUAUUUGAAAUAAUUUUAAAAAAGCAUAUAUUGUAACACUUUUUGAUAUGAUAUAUAUAUAAGAUAAAAAUGUGAUUAAAAAUUGUGCUGAUGACACAAGUAAAUAAAUUUUUAUAAAUAAUUCAAUAUCCAAACAAGCAUAAUAAUGCUUUAAAUUGGGUGUAAAUUAAGAAAAAAUCUAAUUACACUUUACAUUAAACUUAUGGUAUAACUGAAAUGACUUUUCAAAAAUCUUUUGGAAAAGUGAAAACAUGCCAAUGAUGCAUUGAUGUCCAUUUCCUUACAAAUUCCUACGCUGAUAUGUCACGCGAUUGAAUGAAAAAUGUAAAAUACACCUCUAAAACUUGAAUAUUAUUAAGGUUUUUUCAAUUAAGACAAAGGAUAAGCACGUAUAAUAUAAAGUGUGGGCUCAACAAAAAUUUAAUUAUAUCAAUCCACCCUCCAUCUGGCAAGGUGUUUUUGUCAAUAUUCAACACUUGGCCCGCUUCUUAUUUAGUGUCCUAAUGAAAACCCAAAAAAAAAAAAAAAAGAUGUUGAAGGUUUGAAAUUCGAAUUCAAAUCACAGUGCUGCCGAAUUUUAGGCUUUUCAGCCCUCCCUCCUGGGGGAAGCCCAACCAAACCGAAGUUAUGGGCCUCAUACUACAAGGCUUCCGUUCAGAUCCACACCGUAAUUGUCAAUUUUGAAUGGCAAUACGAUGUGUGUGGGACUCUGCAGCCCAACGUCUUAUUCCUUCGCUUUGUCAAUUUUGAAUGGCAAUACGAUGUGUGUGUGAUUCACGACUCAUCAGUGAGAAUCUUUUACCAUCGACUUUUGGAUUGGAGAUUGAUCCAUUUUGUACCUCCACCUUGUAAGAUUUAAGAUUUAUCCUUACCGUCUAACUUAACACACACACACGCACGCAAGAAAAUGAUAGGUUGGGCGGCUUUCAGGAAAAAAUGUAAGUAAGAAGUUCGAGAUUCGAAACUUCGUACCUACACGGUAAGAAAAAGUUAAAAAACACAUACACACGCAUUUUGUGUUAUAUCUAAAUGCAUUAGCGCUAUAAUAUCCUACCAUAUGGUAAGAAUCCCCCAUCUUAUUGUGGAUCGUGUCUUAUAGUAUAUAUUAGUGGGAAAAACAUACUCUAUGGGUAUUCAAAGUAAGAAAAAAUAAAACAUUUAAAUGUUUACUGGCCAAGCAAAGAUAAAUGGUUGAUUGUCGUAUUUGAGUUUAAUAAUCCAUACUAAGUGAAGACUCGAGAGCCGUUGAAGCCAAUAAAGCUCAAGGGACAAUUUCAGAGUCCUCCCUGAGGUUUCUGAUUAUUUCACUUAACUCUCUUAAAGUUUUAAAAGUUAUGUUUACAUCCCUUAAUUUGACGCUUUUGAUAACCAAAUUAUAUAAAACAGAAUUAAAAAAGUUUUUAAAAAAAUAUCUUAAAAUGUCCUUAUCUUAUAAAGUUUAAUUUAUUCUUCUAAAAAAUUGUAAAGUAAUUUGGCAUAAUUACAAAGGAAUGAGCGUCAAAUUUUUCAUACCAAUAUUUGUUGUUUGAUAAUUAACUAUAACAAUAUAUCCAUCACUUUAAUAGGUUACUUUUCAUGGCACUUUAUUGGAUAAAUAAAUUCUUUUUAAAAUGGAGAAAAAAGUAUCAUCUUAAUUUUUUUUAAAGUUUGUGUACUAGUUGAGUGGUGGAACUACCAUGGUUUGGUAGUGAUUUUGGGCCUUUUUUAGGUUAAUUUUAAUUUAUUAUUGAUUUCGAUAACAAAAAACACAAAUAAGAGCUAUAAAAAAAUCAGAUGAUGUUAAAUGUUACAAAAAAAUGUUACUAGUUUGAUGUUUGAUCAAGAUAGAAAUUAGGGACAACAUUAAUUAAUCUUUGGUUUUUUGUUGACUAAAUAUAAGAGAAAUGAAUAAGAAGCAAAAGGAAAAUAAAUUAUAAAAUCCAUUAUUUGUAUAAGCAUAACAAACAGGGGAGUUUCAUUAUAAUGGUAUGGCUAGUACUAUCAUUUUAAAUGGAUAAAGGAGAUAGGUGUAAUUUUUAAAAUUUCAAAAGAGUUAAAUGAAAUCAUUAAAAACCUUAAGGAAGGUUUCCAAAAUUAUCCCAAAGCCCAAAAGUCGAUUGAAAAAGUAGGUCAUAUGUUCAUAUUUUUUUUAGUAUAAGUGAGAGUUUUCAAAUCGGAAUCUCUCACUUACACUCCCUACUCAUAUUACCCAAUAUAUUGCUUCCCAAAGCUGCUAUGUUCAGUGUUCUAUUCUUCGGUUUUUUUUUGUUUGGGAGUUGAACUUGUUGGGUUUUGGUUUAUGAUUUUGGCUCAUUUAUGGAGAUUGGAAAAGAAAACGCUACCAUAAUUCCUGAAAUUUGUCUUUUGUCCGCGGGAAGGCGACAUAAAAUGAAAAUCACCCGCCAAAAGGCCACAAAUGUUCCACGCACACACGAGCACAGCUGCGGGAAAGAAAUAUCGAAGGGCGUCAUUGUUUGAUGGCCAUUGGGCAGAACCACCACCACUCACCACCCAUCAGCGUCCCAAUCUUUUGGCCGCCUCAAUUAUCCAUCCACAUCCCAGGUACCACCAUAUCCUUUGCUGUCUCCAAAAACAAAACAAAAAUAAAAAAUAAGAGGGCAGUUGAGUUAACAACCUCCACCUACGCAUUUGCAGUUCGACACGCACCGGUGUAAAAGUCUAAGACCUUGUUCGGAUUUUUUUUUUUCCUACAAAAAGUUUUUUUAGAUUUUUUUUGAAAAUAUUUCCUCAGUACUAUUAUAUAUUCUCACAACCUUUUUUUUUUAAAAAAAAUUAACGUUUCUCACAUCUCACAGGAAAAGGAAUAAAAAUAAAAAGCUAGAGUAUUAAUUGUCUACAACAAAUUCCAAAAAGUAAGCGAGAUGAUGAUACUCUUAUUAGGCUGGGUCAUGGGUCCCUCCGAGUGGCACAUCCGUGAUAAUGGAUAAAACAGAAGGCUUAAUAUGGGAAGCCAAGAGGACGAAAGUAAAAUUUGAAACCGAGUGGCCGUUUGAACUUUGAACCUUGGAGUCCCCCAACUCCAUCCAUCCAUACGUAUAGUCUAGACUCUAGAAAGAAUUCAAAGAAAGAAAGAAAGAAAGAAAGAACUAGUCCAUACACAGAAAGAAAGAAGACGGAGAGAGAGAACGUCCAAACUUCCUUCAAACUUGAAAAUAACUCUUCAUUCAUUCAUUAACCACCCCAACUUCCCUUCCAAAUUACUCCUCAGUCACAACUACUCACUCAAUUUUUUUUUUUUUUUAUUUUUUCACUCCUUACUUGUUAGAGAUUUGCUCCUCUCUAUAUAGAGCAGUUGGACCAGUCAGUGUUGAGGAGCGGAGAGAUCACACACUCCUGAGGCUGCUGGAUAUCAGUCAAAUGAACAUGACAGGCAUGGUUAUGAUAUCAAAUGGAGGCGGCUGCGGUGGCCAUGGAAAGGACUCUUCCUCUACUGCUACUUCUUCCAGAGGAGGAGGAGGAGGAGGAGGAGUUGUCGGCACAGAACAAAGCCGCCGCCAGCAGCAGCAGCAGCAGCAGCUGUCGUUGCUGGAGUUUCUUGUAGCUGCCUUGAGGAAGUCCAUGGUGUCUUGCCGAGUGGAUCGGCAAGAGGAGGCCCCAAUCUCCGCCGCCCUCCAUCCCAUGGAAAUCGGGUGGCCCACCAACGUCCAGCACGUUGCCCACGUCACUUUCGACCGCUUUCAUGGCUUUCUGGGUCUACCUCUCGAGUUCCAAGUUGAAAUCCCCUCUAGAGUCCCCAGUGCCAGGUAUCUGAAUUCUGUCCUAAAACCAAGCAAACCCAACGACAUUUCAUCCCCUCCUUCCUUUUUUUUUUUUUCGUUCUCCUUUUGGGUUCCUAAAUUUCUAUGGGCAGUUACCAAAAUCUUGUCUUUCAUUACGUUUUCUAAUUCUUGUCUAUCUUUUUAAUUCUCUCUGUAUUCUUCUUCUGGUUGUUGGUUUAGAUCUGAACCAGCUCACAGUCAUUAAUUCCUUCUCUGAUUUCUGUCUGCACUCUUUAUUAUUAAUUAUUCACUGGCGAAAUUUUCAUAGAUUGACGUACGAGGAACUGAAUACUGCGAAUAUGAUUAUUUAUUGAAUCAGCUACAAAGCUGGGUAAACGAGCACUGACCGGUCCCCCAAACCUUCUCAAGGAAAUGAUGAAUACACGGGCUAAAGUAGAGUGUGAUACUACUAUCACUUACGAUGCCAUCUUUCUGUUAUUUUCCCUCGUUAUUAGCGAUUUUUUUCUCAAAAAAAAAAAGAAGGAAGAAGAUAAAGAUAGUGGAGCUUAACUAGUAGUAAGCACUAAUUCUGUAGGAUAUGUUAUUCGCGUUGACAUAUUUCUGAGAAUUGUAAUAUUCAAGUCAAAAGGAGCUCUUAACAAUAAUUGAUCUCUAACUACACAUCAAGGCCAUUGGAAUUUCUCGCACUUCCCGAAAUGGUACUGCACUGUAGGGUAUUCAUCAGUCACGAAAUGGUAAUGCGCCUUAGGGAUUGCAAUUUACUGUUUGCUUUGGCGGACGGGAAGAUUAACGCUGCAAGUGAUUCUGGAUGUUAUUUCACUUGAUUAACACCUGACACAUUGGUCGUUUUGUUCAUGCAGUGUGACUGUAUUUGGAGUCUCUGCGGACUCAAUGCAGUGCUCUUAUGAUACAAGAGGCAAUAGUGUCCCAACAAUUCUCUUACUGAUGCAAGAGCGACUAUAUGCCCAAGGUGGUCUCAAGGUAUAAUGAAUCAUUCCUAUUUAACAAUUUGCAGCCUGAAAAGGUUUUCAUGAUCCUAGUUUGGCUACUGCUCGCAGAGUUGUUUUACCAUAUGCACUUCAAUGGUUUUACAGGCAGAAGGAAUUUUUCGCAUAAAUCCAGAGAAUAGCCAAGAGGAACACGUUAGGGACCAGCUCAACAGAGGCAAUGUGCCAGACGAUAUCGAUGUUCACUGUUUGGCUGGUCUUAUUAAGGCCUGGUUUCGAGAGCUUCCAUCUGGCGUGCUCGAUGGGCUCUCCCCUGAGCAGGUCUUACAAUGCAACACCGAAGAGGAUUCUGUUGAGCUUGUAAAACAGUUGAACCCAACUGAGACCGCGUUGCUAAACUGGGCAAUUGAUCUCAUGGCCGAUGUUGUCGAGCACGAGGAGUCCAACAAAAUGAAUGCCAGGAAUGUUGCAAUGGUUUUUGCUCCAAACAUGACUCAGGUAUGUAUAUCAUCGGUUAAAAAAAAAAAUUUUCUCAUUAUUCUAAAACCAUUAGUUUUAGUUCACCGCUGAUUGACAGUUUCUCUAUUGUGUUGUUUGUUUCAGAUGUCUGAUCCACUGACAGCUCUUAUGCAUGCUGUUCAAGUUAUGAACUUGUUGAAAACCCUCAUCAUGAAAACCUUGAGGGAGCGGGAAGAAACAGUGACUGAGGGGUGCUCGCCUAUGUCAUCUCAUUCAUCAGAUAGGCCCAGCGGAGAAGAAUUUGAGAGUCAACAAGAGGACAUGGAAACGAGCUGCGAAUCGACAGGGCCAGCAAGUGAUGAUGAUGAACCUGCCAAUUACAGCCACAGCAGCGAUGAAAAGGAUGAAAUUGAAUCGUUAAGUGACAUCGAAGAAUGUUUCUUGAGGCAAUUGGAUGAGAAUGAGAGUGCAAAAAAUGGCUUUAGGAAACAGUUGGAGGGGAUUCUAUGCAGAGACCACGGUAGUCCCAUUAGCUGCUGCACUUUCGGUGGAGAUUCUUACCCUUUUUCUUCUGAGAGCAAAACAGGGAGUUCUUGCUUGAUCACUGAUGGAGAAGAUUCAGUAGCUCUGGGGCUUAAGGCGCCUGACAUGAAUGGAAUGGAUGCAGAUGGCGGAAAUACCAAUGAUGUUGAGAGGGUAGAGCUUACGGCGGCACCUACUCCUCCAGUGCUGUUGGGGGUUCUAACUGAAUCUAUCUGAUUGUGUCUUAGUGUCUUGACAUAUUGGAGAUAACACAUCUUUGUCCAGAACUUUACGUGUGCCACCUCUGCAGUGUUUGCAUUUGUAAAUUGCAUUUGAUUAGGCUCUUGUCAUGCGGUUUGCUAGCAGGUUGCUGUUCAGCUUGGGGCUGAACUUGUUUGCUUGCCUUGUAUUAGUAAUAGCAAGGAAUUCUAACAUUGACAGUUUGUGGUGUGGCAUGACAAGAACAACAUAGAAAGAAAAGAAGAGAGAGAGAGAGAGAGAGAGAGAGAGAGAGGAGAAAAAAAAAAGCAUCUUGUAGUUUUGCAGGCCGCAAGUCCUUUGUUCGGUCAUGCUACGUAGUUUAACCCUUAAGGGUUAGGGGUUAACUGUAAGACUAACGUUUGUUUACAGUGCUUUGCUCAAAUGUCACUCAAUUCUAUUAUCGUCCGUGUAUUCUUUCCACUGCCUGCGGACAAUCAAGUAGCAGCAUAAUUAUCGGGUGUCGGAGUGCCAAACACUACUUUUAAGAGCAUUCUACGCUGAUAUGUGUGCUGGGAUUUCAAGUCAACGGUGGUCUUUUUUCUCAUCAGAAAGAGUAGUGAAUGUUGAAUUCGCGUUCUCAGAAGGACUAAUUCUAAUGCUUCAACCUUCAAGCGACGGGCUAGUUCCUGUGGAUGACCGCCCGCGACAGUCGGACGCACAAGUCCCAAGCAAUAGAGGGAAUUUUCUAUGGGAAGAAAAGGUCUCCAAACGAAAAUUGUAGGGAGUACAUAUUUGGACAUAAGAAUCGCACAUGAUCCAAACGAUUAGCGUCCACUUUGCAACUUUUUCAAGAUUAGACAGCCUUGAGAUGAGGUCAAUAUUCUCUUCAUUGGUGAAAGAGGACAUAACUGUUCAAGUAAGAUACAGAACAGCAGACAAAAAAGAAGGAAUAGAAAAAGUAAAGAGAAGUAGCUAAUGCAACGAUUACUCAUUUCUGUCCCACUUCGUCCGAUUACGGUUCAACAGUCUACUUCGCUGGAAUCAAGUAACUACCGACAACCAAGGUAGCUGCAAUGAAUCACACAAUUAAUUAGUACAGUAGUAAUAAGAUACAUACACACACAUAUAUAUAUAUACAUGUAUAUUGUACUGAAAUCGAGCAAGGUAGAUAAAUAGUAGUAGUAUUUGGUAGAGUCCCUAGUGUUUUUUUUUUUUUUUUUUUUUUUUUGCUGACGGAGUGGGUGUCCGGGUCAAGACCGUAAAGGCGGCCCGACUAAUCCCACUCCGGCUCGACCCAGCACCCCAACCAGAACCAAAUACGAUAGAUGCACGGCGGUACUGAUGUUGCUGCGGAGGUUCGACCCCAGGACCUGACGGUCCCGAGGAAGAGGCGCCAACCACCAGCCCAUUCACGUGGGGGCGAGUCCCUAGUGUUUAAUGCUUAAAAUCUUGAAUCUCAAUCGGUCUGCUUAAAUAACCUGUCCGUGUGAAUUGUGAUGGCUGGCUGACAAGUUUGUUGAUGCCACCAAAGACAGGUAGGAGAUGGAAAGAGCAUAGAACCCAAUAACGACCGGGCACCAAAUCCCAGCAAAUGCAGUUAUGUGACCGACCAUCCCAUAUUUUGACAGCCCAAUAAAGGAGAAUUGAAUGCCGAAAAUAAGUGCGCGUGUGGAGACCAGACAAUUCUCAUAUUCAAAUUAGAAAAGUAAAUCAAAGAAUCAGUCUAAUACUCAAAACAAAACAAAAAAAAAAGGGGAGGUUUGAUUCAUCAGAAUCAGAGAGAGAAGAAAAAAUGGAGAUGCAACAAGCAUAAAUCGCCCUUGAUGAGUGAUGAUAGCAGUACGUAAUAAUUAUUAUUUAUAUGUACAGUUGUGGUGCUGUCCUUUUGACCAGUUGCCCUGCUUAAAAAAAAAAAAAAAAAAAAAAACUCUGGGAAAGUUAACAACAAUGGAAGUAAACAAAAGGCGAUUCAUAAAAGAUAAUUAAUCUUCUACCAAACUAAACCAGGAGAUUGUCUACGUGCUGGUGUAAGAUUAAUCUUCAACACUUUUUUGUCUCACCCAAAGAAAAGAAAAAAGGAAAAAAAACUCUCAGAAUUGAGGCCCUAGUGCCAUUCAAGAUGCCAAACAGGCUUCCCAGAAGUGGCGAUCCUUGUCCCUUUCAUCCAACUUCUUCAACUCGGCACCGCAGACCUUGAGUUUCUUCUUGUUCCUCUGCCCUGCCACCGAUUCCGCUUCUGAUUCUGCUGCCUCCGACUCGUCACGAUUCCGUUUGAAGACCACCUCCAUGUAACAAUUAGCCCCGCUACUUUCAACCUCCUCAUCCUCGUACUCGUCGCACAAAUGUGACACAUAUUCUCCCGCUUCUUCUCGCUCUACCUCAUCGGCGUUAGCAACAUAAACCCCGGUACCCGUAGGGUGAUCAAAAUCGUUAUAACACGCAUUCUCGCAGCUGCAAGAAAAUGCAUCAUCCUCAGCUAAACCGGCCGUCGCUUCAUGACUUGAUCCGGCAUCAUCAGCACCGUUAAAGUCGGAAUCAGCCUCUGAAUCGCCGGUGCUCUCGAAAAGCAUGCAGGAGAAAAUAUCCACAUAGUUAGUCCUCCAAUCCAUACGUGUCUCUUCCGACUCUGGAACUAAAUCCAUCCUUUUUUUCCCUUUUUUAAACAAAAAAGAAUAUUAAAGAGAGGGAGGGGGUUGGAACUUGGAGAAAGAAAAACGGCGAGACGAACAUGAAUGUGGGUUGUAUAUAAAGGCUUAGGAGGAAGGACGACGGAGUGUUCUGGGAUGAGCUGUCUGUCUGGUUUGACACUCGAAAAAAGAGAGGCUAUUUAGCUGUAGCUAGUGGUGCGCUGCUCAUCCCAUAUUUGGCUCUGCAGAAUUUGUACGUCCUUUGCAUUUUUGCCCAUGGACAAUUUGGAGAAUUUCUGCAUUUGCUUUUUGUAGUUUGCAGUGAUGAUGAUCCCUUGUAAAAUAUGAUUGGUCGGUUUUGGCUUUUUGAGAUGCGGAAAAUUAACACUAACACGGCACCCUCGCUCCACAUCUAGAAGAAUUCCAUGUCAUACAAACCAAUUGCUCCACGAUGACGUUGAACCGAACCGAAC